rfam:Trichomonas vaginalis G3, whole genome shotgun sequence.
UACUUGGUUGAUCCUGCCAAGGAAGCACACUUAGGUCAUAGAUUAAGCCAUGCAAGUGUUAGUUCAGGUAACGAAACUGCGAAUAGCUCAUUAAUACGCUCAGAAUCUAUUUGGCGGCGACCAACAGGUCUUAAAUGGAUAGCAGCAGCAACUCUGGUGCUAAUACAUGCGAUUGUUUCUCCAGAUGUGAAUUAUGGAGGAAAAGUUGACCUCAUCAGAGGCACGCCAUUCGACUGAGUGACCUAUCAGCUUGUACUUAGGGUCUUUACCUAGGUAGGCUAUCACGGGUAACGGGCGGUUACCGUCGGACUGCCGGAGAAGGCGCCUGAGAGAUAGCGACUAUAUCCACGGGUAGCAGCAGGCGCGAAACUUUCCCACUCGAGACUUUCGGAGGAGGUAAUGACCAGUUCCAUUGGUGCCUUUUGGUACUGUGGAUAGGGGUACGGUUUUCCACCGUACCGAAACCUAGCAGAGGGCCAGUCUGGUGCCAGCAGCUGCGGUAAUUCCAGCUUCUGCGAGUUUGCUCCCAUAUUGUUGCAG